UCCACUAACCUAGCAUGCUCGAUGGA
rnacentral:piRNA from 1 species